rnacentral:rRNA from 1 species
CCUACGGGAGGCUGCAGUGGGGAAUAUUGGACAAUGGGCGCAAGCCUGAUCCAGCCACGCCGCGUGAGUGAUGAAGGCCUUCGGGUCGUAAAGCUCUGUGGGGAGGGACGAACCGCCACCGGUUAAUACCCGGUGGCAUGACGGUACCUCCUUAGCAAGCACCGGCUACCUUCGUGCCAGCAGCCGCGGUAAUACGAAGGGUGCCAACGUUGCUCUGAAUUAUUCGGAGUAGAGCGCGCGAGUGCGGCUUGAAAUCCCUCGGCUCAACCAAGGAAGUGCUUUCGAAACUGCGGAGCUUGAGUACUUAAGAGGAUCGCGGAAUUCCCGGUGUAGAGGUGAAAUUCGUAGAUAUCGGGAGGAACACCAGUGGCGAAGGCGGCGAUCUGGGAAGAUACUGACGCUGAGGUGCGAAAGCGUGGGGAGCAAACAGGAUUAGAUACCCCGGUAGUC